AGCUGGGGUGCCGGACCUGUGUCCGGCUGAGAUCAUACCCAACGAACCUGACCUGGAUAAUGCCAGCGUAGGGAGCUGAUUUU
rnacentral:ncRNA from 1 species